rfam:Cajanus cajan chromosome 8, whole genome shotgun sequence.
AAAGUGAGUUGCAGCCAAGAAUGACUUGCCGGAAGUCGUGCAUUAAGUAUCAAUGGAUAGUUGUGCCUUAUAAUUUUGGCGAGUUGUUCUUGGCUACACUUAUCUCUCU